rnacentral:rRNA from 1 species
CUCCAGGAGGCAGCAGGCGCGCAAUUACCCAAUCCCGACUCGGGGAGGUAGUGACAAUAAAUAACAAUGCUGGGCUAUCGUAGUCCGGCAAUUGGAAUGAGAACAAUUUAAAUCCCUUAACGAGGAACAAUUGGAGGGCAAGUCUGGUGCCAGCAGCCGCGGUAAUUCCAGCUCCAAUAGCGUAUAUUAAAGUUGUUGCAGUUAAAAAGCUCGUAGUUGGAUUUCGGGGCGGCCCGACUGGUCCGCCGCGAGGUGAGCACUGGUCGGCCGCUCUUCCUCUCGGAAGCCCCGACUGCUCUUCGUUGCAGUGGUCGGGGAGUUCGGGACGUUUACUUUGAAAAAAUUAGAGUGUUCAAGGCAGGCCGUCGCCUGAAUACAUUAGCAUGGAAUAAUGGAAGAGGACCUCGGUCCCGUUUUGUUGGUUUCUUGGACCGAAGUAAUGAUUAAGAGGGACAGUUGGGGGCAUUCGUAUUUAAUUGUCAGAGGGUGAAAUUCUCGGAUUUAUGAAAGACGAACGACUGCRAAAGCAUUUGCCAAGGAUGUUUUCAUUAAUCAAGAACGAAAGUUAGGGGUUCGAAGACGAUCAGAUACCGUCGUAGUCCUAACCAUAAACUAUGCCGACUAGGGAUCGGUGGAUG